rnacentral:RNase_P_RNA from 1 species
GUCGUCGGUCUGUAUAAUCAGACAGGAGGAAAGUCCGGGCAACAUAGGGCAAUCCGCUACCUAACAGGUAGUAGUCAGCAAUGGUUAGUCCGUGUAGAAGAAAAUAACCGCAGAGUUAUCUGUAAGGGUGAGAAGGUGAGGUAAGGGCUCACCAGGCGUAUGGCGACAUACGUGCUGUACACUCCGGAUGUUGAAAGUUCGCGUAUACCGGCGUUCCGUAAGGAAAAGGGCUGCCCGCCCGAGCUGGAGGGUAGAACGAUAGAGACCGAUGGUGACAUCGGUAGUAGAUAAAUGACAAGCGGUCCCGGUUUUGCGGGAUGCACAGAACCCGGCUUAUAGAGCCACUG